rnacentral:lncRNA from 1 species
CCAAACAAAUGUACAAAAGCAAGUCAGGGAGGGGAAGCGUCGCCGUGGCGCCCGCUCCAGCUCGUACUGUGUGAAUUAAUUGGAGCUUUCAAACGGGCCCAGACAACUAGCAGUAGACUGUAAAGUGACUUCUGAAGAGAUAUUUGCUCUGCCUCAGAGCCAAAUGAAGAGAACUGGGGAAUGCAGUGCCUUCUUGUUGGACUCAGAGAACUUCAAGAGGAGGGCAGAACUGAGACAGACCCAAGGCUGUUCUGCCCUGGGCAAGUGGUCUUAGCAAGGAGACCUGCUGGACAGGUCAAUUCUGAACUUUAUUUUACCUUGAGUGUGUUAUAUAGAUGCACUGUGGAAUUAUGCUAAGUCAAGAAUGGGAAUGAGGAAGAAAAGAAUAAUGUCAAGGUUUACUCAAGCCUGAGGAGUUUA